rnacentral:rRNA from 1 species
GUGUCAGCAGCCGCGGUAAGACGGAGGAGGCAAGCGUUAUCCGGAAUUAUUGGGCGUAAAGGGUCCGCAGGUGGCAGUUCAAGUCUGCAGUCAAAGGUCGGGGCUCAACCCCGGAAAGGCUGUGGAAACUGAACAGCUAGAGUACGGUAGGGGCAGAGGGAAUUCCCAGUGUAGCGGUGAAAUGCGUAGAGAUUGGGAAGAACACCGGUGGCGAAAGCGCUCUGCUAGGCCGAAACUGACACUGAGGGACGAAAGCUAGGGGAGCGAAUGGGAUUAGAUACCCCAGUAGUCCUAGCUGUAAACGAUGGAUACUAGGCGUUGCUUGUAUCGACCCAAGCAGUGCCGUAGCUAACGCGUUAAGUAUCCCGCCUGGGGAGUACGCACGCAAGUGUGAAACUCAAAGGAAUUGGCGGGG